CGGGUGCGCGGCGGCGGAGGCCAUGAUGGCGGCCGCUCCGCUCCGCAGCCACGCACGGACUGGCGCUGUGACGCAGCACUCGGCGGCCCCGCGCGGCGCGGCGGGAAAAAAGAGUCCGCCCGCACCGCCCCGCCCUGAGCGGCUGAGGGGACCGGCGGGCGGGACGGGCGGCGCGCCCUGCGCUGCUGCGGGCGUUACGGGGCGGCCGGCCGGCCGGAGCCGCGGAGCCGGGCGGUAUCCAGCCGCUCAGAUCCCGCGACGCUGCGGUUCGCGCUCAGUGCCUGCCCUCUUUAAGUCGUUCUGAACGGCUGGGAAGAAUCGCUCCGAGACGUGAAAUCGCGGCUCCGCGUCGACGCGAGCAGUUUGCAGCACCUGCUGAUGGUACCUGAUGUCUCCAGGAUGGUACAGUAGAGCUACAUUAGUAAAUCAGAGAAUGUCGUAGGUUGGAAGACACCUUAAAGAUAAUCAAGCUCCAACCCCCUUGCCAUGGGCUGGCAGCCAAGGGCCCCAUCCAGCCUGACUCUGAGCACCCCCAGGGAUGGAGCACCCACUGCUCUCUGGCCUCACUGCUCUCUGAGUGAAGAAUUUCUUCCUAACUUCCGUUAAACCUUUAAUGCUUUAUUUUGUAACACCAUCCACAGGAGGUAGAGCCCGUGUUGUCACCUACCCAGAAUCAUACCCAGGUACGCACUGUGGGCAACUAAAACCCAUCAGCACAGCAGUUAAUAAGUUCAUGCUUUUUGCCAGGAACCAGCAUGUUGCUGCAAAAUGAUGGCAAUCAGUAACUGCUGGCUGAAUCGUGGAUGUGAGUACAUUAAUGAGUCUAAUGUGCCCUUCAGCCUGAAGUCAUAUUUGGGAGCUCUUUCAGUUGACUAUGUGCACGUAACUACUGGCAUCAAAGUGAACACUAAAAUGUUCUUUGGUUUCAAGAGUUCAUGCAACAGGCUGAAAUCACAUAGAGUAUUUGCAACAUCAGUGCCACGCACAGGGCUGCCAGGAGGCACUGUCAGGGCCCCCACCAGCCCCAUUGCUGACCAUGGCUUUGGGGCAGUACGAGUCUCCAACUCACCUGAGCAAAGCAAAUAGCCCUGGGAUGGUGCAGCACUGUAUGGCAUCUCCCAGAUCUGUGGUAUCUGUCCUGCACUCCUUUGGUGUUCACACCAUUGCAGCACCUUGCAAUGCUGUUGCAUUUUUCCUUCUUCUGAUUGCAGGUACAGUCUCCAAAGCUGAGCAGUGAACUGCAUUGGCAGAGGAUGGGCAAAGCUGGAAUGAAGGUAACACCAGUUCUCCAAUAAACCUCAUGGGAGAAGAGCUGUAGGGUAUCCAGAAACCUCCAUCCUGGUGGGUAAGCGAACCACCUCCGUCCUGAACAUCCCCUGAGGAUUUUACAGUGCAUUCCUCGUCUCUUGCUGGUGAAGCCACUGCUGGUGUUGAGCUUUAAUGCCUUUAAGUCUGUACCACAAAAACGUCAGUGAGCCUUUCCUACCAUCUGAUCGUGUGUUGGAGAGCAGCAGUUUGGUGCAUUUUCAGAUUGGGCAUCGUGCUUAACGUCCUUUUGAUUCCAGCCUGUCUUCCAGCGUGUUCAAAACUCACACUUGCUUCUCCCAUUGAGUUGCAUCAAGAUAAAACAAGUGGAAUUUAUCAGAUCUUACCAUCACCAGACAACGCCGUGGAGGCAGCAGACAUUCAGAUGCAGAUCAGAGAGAGCGUUUCAUCUGCAUGCACGUUAUUUGACUGAAGUGAACUGGUUUGAGAACUGGCAUUAAAAUACCAACACUGGCAGUUAAUGCUCCAGCCUUUGAACAGCAGCAGGCAGCUUCAGAGGAAGGGCAGGGCUGGUGGCAGCACCACCACUGCUGUUUGCUCAUACAGCUCUGACUGCUCUCUGUACUCACCAUCCUCCAAGUAAAGACACAGGAGCCAAAUUGGCUCCAAGAAGCAGUUUCUGUUCACCCUGGCUCUGACUCAGCCCCCUCCAAGGGCCAGCAGUGCCACCUACCAGCUCUUGGAGUGGGGAAAUGAGCAACAAGUCUUGGUCUUAUCUGCACCGAGUGAUCACACCAUGCUUUUAGAAAGCAAUAUGCUUCGCAUGUGUGCUGGCACACACAUCUGCCUCAGCUCCAUCCUGGGAACAUUGCUGUCACUGAUAGCAUUUCCAUCUGGAAGUAGGAGAACUGGGAUAACAUCAAAUGGCAGAAAGUGAUAUAGAGCUUCGGGGAGGUGCCCUGAGCUCACAGCACAGCCCUGUGCUUUGGUGAGAGGCUCUUGUACCUGGUGCUGUAGCAGAAGACCUGAGCAGUUCGUUCUUUACACUGCACACCUCUCCAGAGCUGAUCCUCCACGUGCAGAUGUGCUUCUCGCAGAUUAACACCACCAACCAGUUUGUAGCUGCAGGCAUGCGAGCAAAAAGGCAAAGGGUCAAAGCUCCAGCCUGGAAUAAAUCACAGUGAGCCACUAACACGCAGUGUGAGCAGAAACGAGCAGCAGGGGAGAUGGAAAAGAACAGGCUGUGUCCUGACAGGCAGACCUCAGCAAGACAGAUUUAGCUCUCGUUCAGCCAGGAGGAUAUUUGUCACUGCAAGGACAGGCCUGCAUUAUUUUUAGUGGAUGCAUCAUGAGUCCGCAGCUUUAAAGGACAGCGAAAGAAAGAUCAGCUUGUCUGGUGAGGGCUUAUCCUGUUCUCUCAGAGCACACACAGCCCUGAGAAGCCGAGGAAUGUGUCAGUACAUACAAGACACCAUGUGCUGCUUCAAGUACCACGCCUGCUUUUAUUGCUGCUAGCUGUGACACUAGCAGUCAGCAAACCCUGACAUCACACGUGCUGUCCUUACCCUGGGCCAUGCGCACAGCAGCGUGCCUGCAGGCUGAGCCCGACGGAGCACUUCCCGAUAAAACACACUGGAGUUUGAAAAAGAUGGUCUUGCUUUCUACCGGUCCACGUGGCCCCAGCUGUGACACGGCACUCAGCCCUGCAGUCACCUUGCUGCACAGCAGGAGAGGUGAUUCCCUCCUCUUGCCGCCAGCACUGUGUGCUGCAGCCACGCAGCAGAGCGAGGCCGUGCUGCUGGGUGCUGUGAGCUCAGGGAGGCUCCGUGCCGUGCUGGGAGCCGCAGAACCACAUCCUGCACGGGGCCUGAGCAAUAUCUGAUAGACUCACUGCGCCAGCUUGCAAACGUCUCGGUGCGAUCAGUGAGCAGCUUUGCCAGGUGUUUCCCCUACAGCCAGAUACAGUCAGCGCUGAGACGCUUCAUCUCACGUAAAUCAAGCGUAUCUGUCACCACUUUGUCCAUUUGCGUAUCGGAAUUGAUGGCUCAGGAAGAGCUGCGUGCCACCAGAGCACCUCCGAGUGCUGUGCCCGUGUUAGGUCAGGAGGGCUGCUGUGCGCCCUCCUGACCUGCAGCUGCUUGCUUGCAGUGGGUGCUCCCCUUUCCGAAGGGGCAGUGCGCCACCUAGCGGGCUGGAGCCGCACUGCAGGGGGGGUGCGGUGCUGCGGAGCACGGCCAGCCGAGGGACGGGGAAUUAAAGUGCUAACAUAUGGGCAGGAUGCUUUGUUUUACUGAGAUAACCAUCAGACGUCACCUCUGAUUGAUCGCGAGGUGCUUACAAAUAAAAGGAGCUGCCAACAACAAGCUAUCUGUCCUUGCAGCGCUGAGAAAACUGACCCAAACGCAAGCAGGGUGCACAAUGGGAAUAAGGGAUAGCAAGCAAGGAGCUCCCUCCAGAACUAUUAUCCAUCAGCCCACAGUGCUCGCUAGGACAGACAGCAGUGCAGGACCCUGGGCCAGGAGGGUCUCCAUGCUCUUUCCCAGAGUUCAAGUGAAAAACACUGAAGAAUGGCUUACAGAAGACAAGCUUUAUUACUGACCUUUUACCCAGCAGGAGGCAGCACUUCGUUACAAAAAAAUAACCCAAACCUCACAAUCAAAACUGGGAACGUUUUGCUGAUUGCCUGUCUCAGCAGCUGUGCAAAGCCUAUCUGCUUUUAGCUUCAAAUGUAAACGUGUUAUCAUUAGGGCUAGAAAAAAGGCUUUUGGACUUCAUUCUGAAGCAGAACAGAACUCAUGCUGGCUCUAUGCUGCCUCAAAUGGCACCAGACUUUUGUUUCGGUGUUACAGUGUAAUCAGUGGAAGUGAUCAGCAUGGUCAAUUAACUUCUUUUAAGCCUCUUUGUGUAUAUUAUUAUGUAUAUAUAUGUAUAAAUGUAUACUUCAUGCAGCUGCUGGUCAGGGUGCCCCAAGCACAGCUCCCCAUUUCAGUACAGCCUCAGUGCCCCCAGCAGCCCCCCUCCACCCAUGGUGGGUUUUCAAAGAGCCCAGGCAGGCCAUGCAGUGGCUCUCCCCAGGUGACUGCCCAGCUUUCAACCAACCAUUCAACCAUUUCAACCAUUCCCAGCCUGGAUCUAACAGCCUUACGUUGAGGGGAGCUUUACCUGUUGGACAUUUCCAGCUUUUAAGCCCACAUUCAGGUUCAUCUUCCAGAAUACCACGUAAGAAAGAGAGCCAACAACCCCAACCUAUUGCCUGUGCUCCAGCUGCAGGUUUGUUAGCCCAGCCAGCUGCAGCUCGUUAGCCAGAUCCCUCCACUGGCUCAGGCACUCACUCCUUGUACCUACCCUGAGUCAGGCUGCUCUUGGAGAGCUGAGAAAGGCUAUUUUGCUCUGUCAUUAACUGGAAAUUUCAGGAAAGUUUUGGCAAAGUCCAUCUGGCCUCCCUGCAGUGCUUUUUUUUUUUUUUUUUUAACCAAGUCAUGAUUUGGGAUGCUGCUAUGAUUAAUGGGGCAUGCAUUGCAUUAGCUCAUGUGUCAGGGCAAAUAAGUGGUGUCCCCAGUGGGCCAUCCCUGGCCUGUCACAUCUCAGCCUGUCUGAGCAGCCUGUUAACAUUCAGCAGGCUGCUGAAACCCGCUGGUGAACAAGGGGCGUUGCUGGCACUUUGGGACUUCCCAUCAAGAUGUGUUUGUUAAUCCAAAUUGGCAGAGCCAAAACAACAGGCACACAGCUGGAUCUAUCCUAAAAUGAAUGGCUCCUGUGGGAAAUGCAUGCACCCGCAGUGCUGGCGUUCUGUGCUGCAGGCCCUUGCUGCACUGCACUGGUGUGUGGGAAUAACAUGAACAUCCAUGGCAGCUCUUCUUUCCUUCCCCUCUCCAUCCUGUAUUUCACAGAAUCACAGAUCCAAAGUUCCAGUUUGUGCCCGUUGCCCCUUGUCCUCUUGCUGGGCAGUGCUGAUAAGAGCCUGGCCCCAUCCACGUGGCUCCUGCUCUUUGUAUAUUAUAAAUACUGAGAAGACCCAUUUCUCAGCCUUCUCCUCCCCAGGCUGAACAGUGCCAGUGCUCUCAGCCUUUCCUCAUCAGGAGGUGCUCCAGGCUUCUCUGCAGCCCUCCAAUGGACUCUCUGCAGCAGUUCCCUGCCUGCCUUGAACUGGGGAGCUCAGAACUGGGCCCAGUGCCCCAGAUGUGGCCACACCAGAGCAGAGCAAAGGGGAGAAGAGCCUCCCUCACCUGCUGGCCACACUCUUUGUAAUGCACCCAGGAUACCAUUGGCCUUCUUGGCCACAAGGGCACAUAGCUGGCUCACUGUCAACCAUUGGUCAACCAGGACCCCCAGGUCCUUCUCCACAGAGCUCCUUACCAACAGCUCAGCCCCCAACCUGUACUGAGGUGUUGUUAUUCCUCCCCAGGUGUAGGACUCCACCCUUGCCCUUGUUGAAGCUCAUCAGAUUCCUCUCCACCAAACUCUCGCACAUGUCCAUGCCUUGCUGAAUGGCCAUACUGGCACAUCAGCCACCCCUGCCAUCCACAUAUCACCAGCAAACCUGCUGAGGGUGAACUCUAUCCCUUCAUCCAGGUCACUGAUGAAGAUACUGAACAAGGCUGGGCCCAGUACCACCCCCUGGGGAGCACUGCUACCUGCAGGCCGCCCAGACUCUGCUCCCUGGGCUCUCCAGCAGCCUGGUGCUGCACACAGGGCUGCAGGCACUGCAUGGCACUGUUCACUGCUCACUGCCAGCGCCCUUGCAGCCAUCCUGCCUGCUGCUGAUGCCUUCUGAAUAUUCACACCUGUCCCAGAGAGCCUCCCCACCAAGUGAACAGCGUGCAGAUGGCUGCCUCCACCAGCAGCUCUGCUGUCACCAGCCCAGUGUUCCCAAAGCAAAUCGAUGACCUCUGCCUGCACAUCAGUCCCAGCGUCCAGGUGCUCGCCUUCAUUAAUCACAGUGCAAUCUCCGAGGUGGGAAGGCAAGGGCUAAACUUUUCAAAGAAUAAAUGAAAAGAGGAGUGGAGUAGAGAAAGUGACAAAUACAGGUCAUGUUGUACAGAUAUUAGAGCUGUAGAUGUAAAGGGAGGGAGCAGUAAAAAUUCAGGAGGCCCUCUAUCUCCUUCAGGAUGAGAGAAAAUACUUGUUUUGUUCCUUUUUUAUCAGGGUUGUGCUCCGUAUGGGUAUUACAGCAGGUGGUUUGGGGCUCUGUGCUGCUCAUUGUGCCUGAAGGAGUCAGAAGAAUGGAUGAAAGAAAGUCCUGAGAGCCCUUUGAUGAACCUAGAGGUCAUUUCCAGCCCAGUCCGUUCUGGGAGUCUCUCAUUCUAUGAAUUGCAAUGCUUAGCUACAACUUUCAGGUAAAAGAGUUAGGCAACGUCCUGCUGUUAAACACAGCAUCCUCCCCAUCACAGCCCCUCCCAGCAGCCUUAUGGGCUUCAGAGCUCGGUACCAACACUGAUAUCUGACACAUGGCUUUUAUUUCUCCUUUCAUCAUAGUACGUACAACAGGCUGUGGAUAAAACCAUUGUG
rnacentral:lncRNA from 1 species